rnacentral:rRNA from 1 species
UGGCUCAGAACGAACGCUGGCGGCACGCCUAACACAUGCAAGUCGAGCGCUCACUUCGGUGGGAGCGGCGGACGGGUUAGUAACGCGUGGGAACAUGCCCUUCACUAAGGAAUAGCCACUGGAAACGGUGAGUAAUACCUUAUACGCCCUUCGGGGGAAAGAUUUAUCGGUGAAGGAUUGGCCCGCGUUAGAUUAGAUAGUUGGUGGGGUAACGGCCUACCAAGUCUACGAUCUAUAGCUGGUUUGAGAGGAUGAUCAGCAACACUGGGACUGAGACACGGCCCAGACUCCUACGGGAGGCAGCAGUGGGGAAUCUUAGACAAUGGGCGCAAGCCUGAUCUAGCGAUGCCGCGUGUGUGACGAAGGCCUUAGGGUCGUAAAGCACUUUCGCCAGGGAUGAUAAUGACAGUACCUGGUAAAGAAACCCCGGCUAACUCCGUGCCAGCAGCCGCGGUAAUACGGAGGGGGUUAGCGUUGUUCGGAAUUACUGGGCGUAAAGCGUACGUAGGCGGACUGGAAAGUUAGAGGUGAAAUCCCAGGGCUCAACCCUGGAACUGCCUUUAAAACUAUCAGUCUAGAGUUCGAGAGAGGUGAGUGGAAUUCCGAGUGUAGAGGUGAAAUUCGUAGAUAUUCGGAGGAACACCAGUGGCGAAGGCGGCUCACUGGCUCGAUACUGACGCUGAGGUACGAAAGUGUGGGGAGCAAACAGGAUUAGAUACCCUGGUAGUCCACACCGUAAACGAUGAAUGCCAGUCGUCGGGUAGUAUACUAUUCGGUGACACACCUAACGGAUUAAGCA